rnacentral:rRNA from 1 species
AGUGAACGCUGGCGGCGUGCCUAACACAUGCAAGUCGAACGAUGAUGGAGAGCUUGCUCUCCUGAUUAGUGGCGCACGGGUGAGUAUACCAUAGAUAAUGUACCUCUUAGUUCGGGAUAGCCACUGGAAACGGUGAUUAAUACCGGAUACUCCUUCUUGUCUUAAGGCAAGUCGGGAAAGUUUUUUCGCUAAGAGAUCAGUCUAUGUCCUAUCAGCUAGUUGGUGAGGUAAUGGCUCACCAAGGCAAUGACGGGUAACUGGUUUGAGAGUAUGAGCAGACAUACUGGAACGGAGACACGGUCCAGACUCCUACUGGAGGCAGCAGUGGGGAAUAUUGCACAAAGGAGGAAACUCUGAUGCAGAAACGCCGCGUGGAGGAUGACGCAUUGCGGUGUGUAAACUCCUUUUAAGAGGGAAGAUAAUUACGGUACCUCUUGAAUAAGCACCGGCUAACUCCGUGCCAGCCGCCGCCGUAA